UCGUGUCGUGAGAUGUUGGGUUAAGUCCCGUAACGAGCGCAACCCUUGUCCUUAGUUACCAGCACGUUAUGGUGGGCACUCUAAGGAGACUGCCGGUGACAAACCGGAGGAAGGUGGGGAUGACGUCAAGUCAUCAUGGCCCUUACGGCCUGGGCUACACACGUGCUACAAUGGUCGGUACAAAGGGUUGCCAAGCCGCGAGGUGGAGCUAAUCCCAUAAAACCGAUCGUAGUCCGGAUCGCAGUCUGCAACUCGACUGCGUGAAGUCGGAAUCGCUAGUAAUCGUGAAUCAGAAUGUCACGGUGAAUACGUUCCCGGGCCCU
rnacentral:rRNA from 1 species